rnacentral:sRNA from 1 species
GGAUGUGAAGGCGUCCUGGCUGUGACAUCUGUCACUGCACUGAUAACCAGGGUUGACUUGGCCAAUCCGGCUGCCUAGGCAGGUGUCCCCUUUCUUCCUCACCACUCCAUGUGUGUCCCUCCCUAGGCAAUUGCACUCUUGGUUGCUUGUCACUUAGUCAAAGAGGAUGGCCAGCCCGAUAGAGGAGCAUUUUUCCUCCAGCAAGGACAUAGCAGCAGCUGUGCUCCUUUGCUAGAACUUCCAAACAAGCUCUCGAAUGUCAUCUGUGAUCAUUACAGUACACUUGCAAAGGCCCUGAGGUAGUAGUAACUUGGAAAAUGUU